AUAGCUCAUUUAUGCCUUUAUUUGCUAGAUUUAACACCUUUGUCUUUACUGAUUUGGCUUUAAUUGAUUGAUAUUUCUGCUUUUUUUCAUAAUCAGUAAGUUUUUAGUGGUUGCUGUAUAACCUAGUUAUGACCUUGUUGAAGCUAGGAGAUUUUGUGUUUCUAUGAAUAUUUUGAAACUUUGUUCCAGGAUGGAGUUAUUUGGAAGUACUUAGAUCCUUUGGGUCUUGCACUUAUGAUUCCUUAUGUGAGAUCAGAGCUGUGCUCAGCCUUGGACUAAUUUUUCCCACUUCUGAUGCAAGAUCCUCCUAAAUAUUCUAUUGAAUGCUGCAUAAAUCUUGAGGUUUUUCAGCAUGGGUGAUGGGAACAGGCACUAUUCCCAGACCUGUUUGAAUGUUGAAAAUGCUGCCUCUAAUCCUUCAGGUGGUUCUUUUCUUGAUGUUGGGUCGCUUCCUCACAUGCAUGUGUACAUGAAUAUUCAUUUGAAUGAUAGAGAACCCUCUGCAGUUCUCUGGAAUUCUCUCUGUGUGCAGCUCUCUCUUCUCUAGUACUCUGUCCAGCAAACUCUAGCUGUUUUGGUUUUACCAGGGUCUCAGAUCCAUCUCCUCAGCUCCAGGAGUAUGCCAGACUCCGCCUGGGUGCCCUCUUCUGCACUAAAGCUUGGAAACUCUCUCCUGGCCAUAAACUGGGGCAAUUGUAGGACUCACACUGUGUGCUGUCUUUCAGAUGAGAAAUAUGAAAUACAGAGAUUAAAUUUUUACCGAAGAUCAAAUGACUACAGAAUGGGAGAACCAAUGUUUGAACUCAGGAAGUACAGCCCCAGAGACUAAAUUCUUCGCUACCCAUACUCUAUUCACUUCCAAGCUAGAUGAAUAGAGGAAAAUCCUUCUUCUAGAAGAAGCAGCCAAUUUUUGAUAUUAUAUCCUAGGUAUUCUGCAGUAGGAUAAUAUUAUUCUGCUUUUGGUCACUCAGCCUCUACCUUCUAUUCCUCUGAGGAAUCUUCACCUUUAAGAAAUGAACAUGUUGAUCCAGUUCAAGGGGGAAAAGAGACCCAGAAACCUGGAGGCUAUGGUUAAAAAAAUUAUAGUACUAAGUGGACAUAUAAGGAGCAUAUUUUCCAGAGGACAAGGUCAAGAGCACCUGAAAAUGUCUUCAUAAUGUGUAUUUAGAAAGUCUGUGUCACAGUGAUUCCACUAUUGCAGAGUUCUAAGACCCUGUCAUCUUCAUUUGGACUUCAAAUUUGAUAUUGGGUAGCAUUAAAAAAUUAAGGUGAUAUAAAAUAAAUAUUUUACUAAGAGAUUGCAGGGAGCCUUUAAGAUAAUCGAUGUCACACUAUGAUACUGAGUUUGCUAAAAUUUCAAAUUAUUUACCAAAAUUGGGAUAUAACUAAGAGCUUAUUGCAAUAUAAUUUGUCUAGUUAAAUAAUGUGAUAUCUAUAUACGGGGGAAUAUACUUUACAUCUGACUUUUCUCACACUGAUUAACACUCUUUCUACUGUAACUAUCCAGCUCAGGACAAACAGGACCUUUCCAAUUAGUACUAGUGUUUCUCCUUCUGAAUAAGUCUACAUCAAUGAGAACUCCAGCUGCCAGUGCGAGGAAGUGUGUUCCAGGGCAGCCAUAGCAAUAAUUCUGCUCAUGAAUGCUCUGAGACCCCUGCCUCGAUCCUCCUGCCUCUGUUCUUCCCUGUCUCUAAUUUGCUCCCUUGUUGAUACCAUUUAAUCUCCUGGGACCAAACGCCAUUUUUUCUCUUUUUCUUUCUUUAUUUUUAUUAAUUUAUUAAUUAAUUUAUUUAUUUAUUGAGACAGAGUUUCACUCUUGUAACCUAGGCUGGAAUGCAGUGGCACUAUCUCAGCUGACUGCAAUCUCUGCCUCCUGGGUUCAAGUGAUCCUCCUGCCUCAGCCUCCUGAGUAGCUGAGAUUACAGGCACAUGCCACCAUGCCAGAUUAAUUUUUGUGUUUUUAGUAGAGAGGGGGUUUCACCACAUUGCCCAGGCUGGUCUUGAACUCCUCAUCUGAGGUGAUUCACCCACUUGGCCUCUCAAAGUGCUGGGAUUACAGAAAUGGGCCACCGCAUCCAGACCCAAAUGCCAAAUUUUAUAUAGAUGAUCCUCUGAAGUUUAUCUUCUGCCAAGACCUCUCCCUGAUUUGUAUCAAACUGCCUCUAUAAAUGUCUACCUGGAUGCCCAAUAAGUGUUUCAAACUUAACAUACAAAGCUAAACUCCUGAGCUUCUGCCCCGUUCCACUCUCUCCAUCUUCUCCAUCUCACUGAAUAAAAAACAAAUCUGUAUAGAUAUUUGAGACAAACAUUCUGGGGAGUAAUCCUCAUUCUGUUUUUCUUAUAUCCCACUUUGAAUAUAUCAGAAAUCUCUGGUAUCUGACCACAUAUCAUUAUCUAUGCUACUACACAGUCAGCACCAUCUCUAGCCUGGAUUAUUGGAAUGCCCUUUAACAGGUCCCCUUGAUUUCAUCCUUGUCCUCCUACAGCCUAUAAAAGAGUAGCCAGUGUGAUCUGGUUAUAAAAAUGGUAGAUUAUGUUCAUCUUCUGCUCAAAACCCUCAACUAUAUAUACAUACAUAUAUGUGUAUGUAUAUACAUAUA
ensembl:lncRNA